AGUGAACGCUGGCGGUAUGCCUAACACAUGCAAGUCGAACGGCAGCACAGUAAGAGCUUGCUCUUACGGGUGGCGAGUGGCGGACGGGUGAGGAAUACAUCGGAUUCUACUUUUUCGUGGGGGAUAACGUAGGGAAACUUACGCUAAUACAGCAUACGACCUACGGGUGAAAGCAGGGGAUCUUCGGACCUUGCGCGAUUGAAUGAGCCGAUGUCGGAUUAGCUAGUUGGCGGGGUAAAGGCCCACCAAGGCGACGAUCCGUAGCUGGUCUGAGAGGAUGAUCAGCCACACUGGAACUGAGACACGGUCCAGACUCCUACGGGAGGCAGCAGUGGGGAAUAUUGGACAAUGGGCGCAAGCGUGAUCCAGACAUACCGCGUGGGUGAAGAAGGCCUUCGGGUGGUAAAGCCCUUUUGUUGGGAAAGAAAAGCAGCAGGUUAAUACCCCGCUGUUCUGACGGUACCCAAAGAAUAAGCACCGGCUAACUUCGUG
rnacentral:rRNA from 1 species